UUGAACGGAGUGUGUUAAUCUGGCUCUUGUUCUCGCUUUGCGCGGCCCGAAUGGUUAUUUUCAUCUUCAGUUGCUUAUUGUUGCGUUGCGUAGCCGGGGCUUCAGUUUCCGUGCGCUGGUGAUGCUGUUCCUAUCGAUGAGAACGGGAUUAGCGAUGAGCUGUGGGUGAUGCAAAAGUGUGCCCAACACACGCGGGUGUUGGCCGCGUGCGGUAGCGAUCAGCGCAAUCAGAUGGGACCAACGUGAAACAGUAGUUAAGACACAGAAUUGGAAAAUAAAAACUUCCCUCGUCCCUCGUUUAAUGAUCUGAUUAGCGUGGUUGGAAAUGGCGGGCCUGCUGGAGAGGGAAAACUUUCCAUCUCAAAACAGUACAAAAUCAACUGCUGUUUUUUCCUUACUGCUGAGCUAAUAGACAGUAAAACGGAAGCUAAAAAGAAGCACCUCUGCACGUGCUACGCUAGAUGUUUGCCACAUUUUCCAUCCCGAUGACAGUGAGUUGGCGGUGCGCUUAUUUUACCAGAGAUUAGUGUGUCAAGAAAUUCAAUAAAACUUUUGAUCCGUUCG